AGCGAACGCUGGCGGCGUACUUAACACAUGCAAGUCGAACGAGGGGCUUCGGUGUAGCAAUACAUCGGAGCUUCUAGUGGCGAACGGGUGAGUAACACGUGGGGAACCUGUCCUCCAGUC
rnacentral:rRNA from 1 species